CAAUGUUGUCAAUGAUGGAAACUUGUUGACCUGAACAUAAUGAUUUAUUUCAACACCUCGUCACUACCACUGAGACAACAUACUG